AGAUUCGACACAAAACCCGGAAGGACCCCGCCGAAGGUUUUCUCCGGUUCGGGAGAGAGACGGAGUCCCGCUCUGUCACGCAGGCUGCCAGGCUGGCGUACAGUGGCGCAAUCUCAGCUCGCUGCAACCUCCACCUCCUGGGUUCAAGCGAUUUUCUUGCCUCUGCCUCCUGAGUAGCUGGGAUUACUGGCACACACCACCAUGCACAGUUGCAGGAAUUUAGCCAAUUCAGAGGUCUUGUUCUCCAUAAUUUGGAAUUUUCCUUCGGAUUUGAUCAAGUUGGAUAGAGUUGGUCAAACCCAAUGGGAAAAAGAUGAAAACAACAAGAAACAGAAACAAACAGCAACAACAACAACAACAAAAACAAGCAGAGACCGCCGUGUGAAGAUGGAGGCAGAGAUCGGAGAGAUGCUGCCACACGCCACAAAUGCCUGGGGCUCCCAGAAACUACACGGAGCCUCCCCCAGCGGCUUCAGCAGGAGCAUGGCUCGGCCAACACUUUGAUCUUGGUCUUCCAGCCUCCAGAACGUUUUCCUAAAAUUCCCUUUUCCACUGGUGUGUGGUGCAAGAUGAGGCACAUU
rnacentral:lncRNA from 10 species